CCUACGGGGGGCAGCAGUGGGGAAUAUUGCACAAUGGACGCAAGUCUGAUGCAGCAACGCCGCGUGAGGGACGAAGGCCUUCGGGUUGUAAACCUCUUUUAGCAGGGAAGAAGCGAAAGUGACGGUACCUGCAGAAAAAGCACCGGCUAACUACGUGCCAGCAGCCGCGGUAAUACGUAGGGUGCAAGCGUUGUCCGGAAUUAUUGGGCGUAAAGAGCUCGUAGGCGGUUUGUCACGUCUGCUGUGAAAUUUCGAGGCUCAACCUCGAACUUGCAGUGGGUACGGGCAGGCUAGAGUGCAGUAGGGGAGAUGGGAAUUCCUGGUGUAGCGGUGGAAUGCGCAGAUAUCAGGAGGAACACCAAUGGCGAAGGCACAUCUCUGGGCUGUAACUGACGCUGAGGAGCGAAAGCGUGGGGAGCGAACAGGAUUAGAUACCCGAGUAGUC
rnacentral:rRNA from 1 species